UACGGAGGGAGCUAGCGUUGUUCGGAAUUACUGGGCGUAAAGCGCACGUAGGCGGCUUUGCAAGUUAGAGGUGAAAGCCCGGAGCUCAACUCCGGAAUUGCCUUUAAGACUGCAUCGCUUGAAUCCAGGAGAGGUGAGUGGAAUUCCGAGUGUAGAGGUGAAAUUCGUAGAUAUUCGGAAGAACACCAGUGGCGAAGGCGGCUCACUGGACUGGUAUUGACGCUGAGGUGCGAAAGCGUGGGGAGCAAACAGG
rnacentral:rRNA from 1 species